rnacentral:rRNA from 1 species
GACGAACGCUGGCGGCGUGCCUAAUACAUGCAAGUAGAACGCUGAAGGAGGAGCUUACUUCUCUGGAUGAGUUGCGAACGGGUGAGUAACGCGUAGGUAACCUGCCUGGUAGCGGGGGAUAACUAUUGGAAACGAUAGCUAAUACCACAUAAGAGUAGAUGUUGCAUGACAUUUACUUAAAAGGUGCAAUUGCACCACUACCAGAUGGACCUGCGUUGUAUUAGCUAGUUGGUGGGGUAACGGCUCACCAAGGCGACGAUACAUAGCCGACCUGAGAGGGUGAUCGGCCACACUGGGACUGAGACACGGCCCAGACUCCUACGGGAGGCAGCAGUAGGGAAUCUUCGGCAAUGGACGGAAGUCUGACCGAGCAACGCCGCGUGAGUGAAGAAGGUUUUCGGAUCGUAAAGCUCUGUUGUAAGAGAAGAACGAGUGUGAGAGUGGAAAGUUCACACUGUGACGGUAUCUUACCAGAAAGGGACGGCUAACUACGUGCCAGCAGCCGCCGUAA